rnacentral:rRNA from 1 species
AGAGUUUGAUUCUGGCUCAGAACGAACGCUGGCGGCAUGCCUAACACAUGCAAGUCGAACGAGACCUUCGGGUCUAGUGGCGCACGGGUGCGUAGCGCGUGGGAAUCUACCCUUGGGUUCGGAAUAACAGUUAGAAAUGACUGCUAAUACCGGAUGAUGUCUUCGGACCAAAGAUUUAUCGCCCAGGGAUGAGCCCGCGUAGGAUUAGCUUGUUGGUGAGGUAAAAGCUCACCAAGGCACGAUCCUUAGCUGGUCUGAGAGGAUGAUCAGCCACACUGGGACUGAGACACGGCCCAGACUCCUACGGGAGGCAGCAGUGGGGAAUAUUGCACAAUGGGCGCAAGCCUGAUGCAGCAACGCCGCGUGAGGGACGACGGCCUUCGGGUUGUAAACCUCUUUUAGCAGGGAAGAAGCGAAAGUGACGGUACCUGCAGAAAAAGCACCGGCUAACUACGUGCCAGCAGCCGCGGUAAUACGUAGGGUGCAAGCGUUAUCCGGAAUUAUUGGGCGUAAAGAGCUCGUAGGCGGUUUGUCGCGUCUGCUGUGAAAACCCGAGGCUCAACCUCGGGCCUGCAGUGGGUACGGGCAAACUAGAGUGCGGUAGGGGAGAUUGGAAUUCCUGGUGUAGCGGUGGAAUGCGCAGAUAUCAGGAGGAACACCGAUGGCGAAGGCAGAUCUCUGGGCCGUAACUGACGCUGAGGAGCGAAAGCGUGGGGAGCGAACAGGAUUAGAUACCCUGGUAGUCCACGCCGUAAACGUUGGGAACUAGAUGUGGGGGCCAUUCCACGGCUUCCGUGUCGCAGCUAACGCAUUAAGUUCCCCGCCUGGGGAGUACGGCCGCAAGGCUAAAACUCAAAGGAAUUGACGGGGGCCCGCACAAGCGGCGGAGCAUGCGGAUUAAUUCGAUGCAACGCGAAGAACCUUACCAAGGCUUGACAUAUACGAGAACGCUGCAGAAAUGUAGAACUCUUUGGACACUCGUAUACAGGUGGUGCAUGGUUGUCGUCAGCUCGUGUCGUGAGAUGUUGGGUUAAGUCCCGCAACGAGCGCAACCCUCGUUCUAUGUUGCCAGCACGUAAUGGUGGGAACUCAUAGGAGACUGCCGGGGUCAACUCGGAGGAAGGUGGGGAUGACGUCAAAUCAUCAUGCCCCUUAUGUCUUGGGCUUCACGCAUGCUACAAUGGCCGGUACAAAGGGCUGCAAUACCGUAAGGUGGAGCGAAUCCCAAAAAGCCGGUCUCAGUUCGGAUUGAGGUCUGCAACUCGACCUCAUGAAGUCGGAGUCGCUAGUAAUCGUGGAUCAGCAACGCCACGGUGAAUACGUUCCCGGGCCUUGUACACACCGCCCGUCAAGUCAUAAAAGUCGGUAACACCCGAAGCCAGUGGCCCAACCGCAAGGAGGGAGCUGUCGAAGGUGGGAUCGGUGAUUAGGACUAAGUCGGAACAAGGUA